UGACACUUGACCACCGUUCAAGCAUUAUGUUAACAUCAGAAACAAUAGAACCAUGAAUGAAUAUUUACAGUUGGGAGGAUUAUGAAAAUUUAGGAGCUUUAGCUGCUACAUGGAGACUGGUGUCAUCAUUUGUUUAACUAACUACUCUCCCACUCAGAUCAUUGGACUUUAUGGAUGUAGUUGAUUUACUAUUCUGAGUCGUGUCUGCAGAGAAAUCAGGUUUCUCUGGCUGCUCGAUCUUUGUUUUUUUUUCCUGAUGAAUUUAAUACAAUUGGACUCCAGCCUGACCCAAACUAUGUUCUGGGUUUUUCAGAAUGCAUCAAGUAUGUAAUGUCAUGUUGACAUAUCUAUGGCUCUAUGCAUAAUCACAUCCUAGUUAUUAAUGCUAAUAUUAGAAAUAGAUUAUUAAAAUGGUAAAACUAUUAUUUUUCAGCAUUUGGCUAUGCUUGGGUGGAACUUGUGUUUGAAUAGGCCUAACAAACUAACCCUCCUUUACUCCUUUUGCUAGAAAGAACCAUCUAUACACAGUUUGCAUCAUAGAUGUGCCGAUGGACCAAUGUGUACUGCUUAGAACCAAAAUGUGUACUGCAGGUGCUUACAGUGCAGCAUCCUGGGUUGCUUGCUACAAACUUCAAGCCAUUGACUUGGUGGAAGACCGAUUUCAACUUCGUGACUAUAUUCUGACUUUCUUGUUUUGGCUAGCUAUCACCUGGCUGGUGCCAAUGGGCAUUUGAUGUUAGCAACUCCUUGCUGCCGGAAUCUCCUGAUUGUGGGAUGAAGGAAUUAAAGAAAUCUGUCCUAUGGCUUCAACCACCAUCUAUCUUGAACCUUUGUUACUGUCCAGCAAUUCCUUGAUUGCCCCACCCUCACAGAUACUGUAAGUGCAGGAGGUAAGAGAUCAGAUGCACCCAGAAUCCUAGAUGGUAUCUUGUAGUUGCUGAUCCAAUUCUUAGAAAUAUAGCACUUUGUCGACAUUUGUCAGGUCAUUCCUCCUUAAAUUAAUUAUUUUUUUACGCAUGAUAUACUUGUUUAUGAGUAAAGUUUUGUUGUGUCAUUUUUCGAACAUGAAAAUAAGAAACAGCUCUAGUUAUUCCUGCAAAUAUAUAAUUACUGACUAGGAAGCUAUUCACAUGUCGGACAAGCUCAAAAUGGAAGUGAUCAAGGACUGCUGCUAAUUGAAUCACAGAAAUGAGAACUGUAAUGCUGUAGACUGAAUGAACCUGGCUGCCCAUGUUCUCCAUUGGUGUGAGUAGAACCGGAAAAUGUGCUGCAGGUGCUUGGAAUGAAUAAUCCUGAAUGUGCUGGCCACAAACUUCAGGUCAUCUGCUUUCAGUGAGAAUGACUCAAACUAGGUGAUUGUUCUGACUGUUCUUGUUGAUAAUGGGUAGCUGUCACCAGAGCUGGGAAGCAAUGCCCAUGUUCUCCUUUGCGGAUGAUGUGGGUGCCCUCAGUACAAAGGAGAUAGUUCAUACGCUCACAAAUAACAUCAAGUAGUUGGUGGUCCAUUGCAGAGAAGAGUGGCACCUACAAUGUCGAUUGAAAUAUUAUGGCUUGGUUCCUCGUUCAAAUAUCAAGUAGAGUUGAUGGUUGAUAUUAUUGCAGAAUAUUUUAGCAACAACCAGAAUACCACUUACAUGUUGAACAAGAUCGAGGCAUAGCCACUGUUUUAUGUCUCGACGAAGAUCAACAGGUAGCUGUUUCAGGAUUGAGUCCUGUUCAACUCCCUGUGUUGCAAUCCACUUGUACUCCAUGAACUGACAUAUGCGCUUUUACAAAUCAUCAGGUAUUUGAUGAUCUGUCAUCCAAUCCUCCAUUUCUAUUCUCUGUAGCCUCCAAUCUUCUGCAUUUUUUGGAAGAGAUCUCAUAUAGACCUGUGGACAUUUACUUUUCCUCAUUAAGAUCUACUAUAUUGGACCAAGAUUAUCAGAAACAAAAAGGUGUCGAUAUAUCUGAAGCUCAAAGAAGGCAGGAUUGCCCACACAAGGAUCUGCACAUGUGAGGAAGGUGCAUUAGUAUUCAACAAUAACACAUAAACCACUCUCUUCUGAUUGCAGUUGUGGAGUUCUCUGAAAAAGGACACCACCUGUGGAACAGGCAAUGCUGCUGCGAGGUCGAUGAAGAAGUUCGUUCUGAUGUAUCUGUAUGCAAUUCUUUUAGGAUCUGUGACAAGCUCGCCCUUGCCAAGCAUUAUGGAGCCUGGAUCAAUAUAUGCAGUGAAAAAUCUUGUAGCAAUAUGAACUACAAAGAACAUGUCGAUAAGAGUCCAAAGAUGUGAGCACGAUGGCAAAAUGGUGGUAUAGUUUCAUGCGUUGGGGGUAUGCACUCUCAACGGUUCGCAAGAAGAAAAAUAGAGGAUCAACACAUUGAGAAGCUACACGGGUGAUGAGGAAAGCGCGGUUCCAUAUCAGUACAGUGUUGCCUCCAGGGUCUAGAAUCCAGUUUUGCCGGCAUGUCCAGUGUAACUUAUACAUUGUCUUGUUUCCAGUUGUAUCAGCUGAGCCUGUUGCUGUUUUCUGUUGUUCGCCUCUUCCAUCCGUCCUGCUUGGGUUAAAACUGUGGAGAUGGAAAUUCAUAGCAGAAUCAUGUGCUAGUACUUUUGAGGGUAUAUAGAGUUCUACAUUAGGAACCUGUUCAUUUGAUUCCUAACUAAUUGUGAAGUCUGCUAAACUAAUGCCUAGAAGCAAGUUGCACUUGUUUA